AGGGGAGAGUAAGGGGGAGAAAAUGAGAAGUGAGAACAUAUGGAUUUGCAACAACAAAAUCCACUCAUAGAUGAUCAAACUGAGGUCCUCAAUGUCAACGUCAACUUCAGUCUUGAGGUAGACUUAGACUUCUCCGCUUGGUAAGAAGGAGUCAUUGGACUAAAUACCAGUCUAGGAGGCUCUUGGUAAUCAGGUUGACGAUCUGAGGACAGCACAGAAUCCAUGGCAACCGAAGGUGGAUUGAGGGAUUUCUCCCACAGAUUUCAAACAGGGAGAAAGAGGAGUGGGGAAGUAGCAGCACGAAGCAGAACAGAGCAACUCUGCUGAAUCAUGGGAAAUGCAUGACUUCAGGGUGGCCAUCUGAACCCAACCAAGGAUCACGUGGAAGCCUCACUAUAAAAUAUUUGUCACUUUGGCAUCAUACUUCAGCAAGUUUUCCCAGCACACUUAAGCAUGUGAGAAGCUGCUCUUCGUGAUCCUGGCCUACUCUAUUUGUAUCAUCCACUGUUUAGUCAUCCUGCAAGCAGGUACCACUUAUAACUGAUUCAUUCAUGUCCCUAGAUUUUUUUACAUAAUAACAGGCUCCUCAGCUGAUCAUGGAGUCUGAAAGUCUGCAUUGCUGUGAGAUCAUCAAAGGGCAAGUGAGGAAGGUAUACCUCGUCUUCAAGAAAGAUCUGAGCUGAAGAAUUCAGCAAGUAAAGGUGUCUGUGAAGGGCAGGCCCCAAUAUUUCACAGCUUGAACUGGAGCAGCAUAUGUCACCAUGUCAAGUUAUUUUGGUAUAUCAGGCAGAAAAUCCCACAUGCACUUCUCCAUAUUCUUA